CUCUGCCCGGAUUUUCUUUUCUUGUUCCCAGUUAUCUUCCAGCUGUAGAGAAAGUAGAGGAGGGCUUGCAGAUCAUCGAGGGUUUUCUGGAAGGAAAGAUACACACGUGUGUCCCACAAUGUACACAGGAGCAGCCGGUCAGACCUGGUUUUCUGCCAUCACUUCUGAGCUGAGUUGAGUGGACUGCAGUGAACAGCUACUGAGUGCCUGCGCCUGGGUGCUAGGUGAGGCCGGGGCAGACCUGAGCACCCGUCAGCAGCAGGCAAAUGAAGACAAACCUUUCUGGAGGCCAAAAGUUGGAGACCCAGGAGCAAACUGAAAUUGACUCAUUCCAGGUCCAAGACAGCCUUGCCCAGCGCCCCGAUGGAGUUGUUGCAUUGUUCCAGGUUCUGGCCCUUUUGCACAAACUCGUUGCCUACUUUGACCCGAGGCCUGGUGAUGCCCUUCUGGAGUUCCCCGGAAUUGAGACCCAUGAGAUGGGCGACUUUGUCAGCCACUGAGCAGGGAUGGAAAAAAACAACAACACAGAGAAACUACAGCUCAAGAAUGAAGAUAGGCAUCAGGGCAUGGCGGAGAGUGUGGUAAACAGGAGAGCCUAAGCUCCAUCCAAAGGGACCAUCACCAUUCAACUGUCCUGAUUAGUCCCACAAAAGAGAGCCGGCCCAUGGCUACCAGAUCUUCUGCUAUCCCAGGAAAACUAGGAAAUUGGGUUUUUAUGAGAAGUCUCCCAAAAUCAAAA